rnacentral:rRNA from 1 species
UACGUAGGGAGCAAGCGUUGUUCGGAUUUACUGGGCGUAAAGGGCGCGUAGGCGGCAAAUUAAGUCAGCUGUGAAAUCUCCGAGCUUAACUCGGAACGGUCAGCUGAUACUGAUCUGCUAGAGUGCGGAAGGGGCAAUCGGAAUUCUUGGUGUAGCGGUGAAAUGCGUAGAUAUCAAGAGGAACACCUGAGGUGAAGACGGGUUGCUGGGCCGACACUGGCGCUGAGUGCGCGAAAGCCAGGGGAGCAAACGGG